AUUGAACGCUGGCGGCAGGCCUAACACAUGCAAGUCGAGCGGAUGAAGGGAGCUUGCUCCUGGAUUCAGCGGCGGACGGGUGAGUAAUGCCUAGGAAUCUGCCUGGUAGUGGGGGAUAACGUCCGGAAACGGGCGCUAAUACCGCAUACGUCCUGAGGGAGAAAGUGGGGGAUCUUCGGACCUCACGCUAUCAGAUGAGCCUAGGUCGGAUUAGCUAGUUGGUGGGGUAAAGGCCUACCAAGGCGACGAUCCGUAACUGGUCUGAGAGGAUGAUCAGUCACACUGGAACUGAGAAUCGGUCCAGACUCCUACGGGAGGCAGCAGUGGGGAAUAUUGGACAAUGGGCGAAAGCCUGAUCCAGCCAUGCCGCGUGUGUGAAGAAGGUCUUCGGAUUGUAAAGCACUUUAAGUUGGGAGGAAGGGCAGUAAGUUAAUACCUUGCUGUUUUGACGUUACCAACAGAAUAAGCACCGGCUAACUUCGUG
rnacentral:rRNA from 1 species